rnacentral:sRNA from 1 species
CUAAGUUGUUAAUUGGGCCGGCCCCGCGUUCGGCUCCCGGCCGAGCAUCGAUCCCACGCCAAACUGGGCCGAUGCCUACUCGGCAUUGAAAAGGUACUGCACAUGAGGUGUGCAGCCGAGCGCAAGUUGAUAAAUUUGCUUUACAGGGAUAAAGUAGUGAGUGGUAAACACCGCCGUUCUGUCAAAUAGACACUUCCAAUCUUUACGUCUACUCUCUUCUCCCACGAUGGCUUUUCGCCCUACAUGCAAUCCGACACAAGCUGAUCCCAGGGAAGUGUAUGCGCCGCCCGAAAUACAUACAUCCAUUUCUAUCGCCGCGUGUCGGCCAUAAAUCACUCCAUGCCAG